rnacentral:rRNA from 1 species
UGGUUGGAUGAGUGGCGAACGGUUGAUAAAUACGUGAGUGACCUGCCUUUGACUCUGGGAUAAGCCUGGGAAACUGGGUCUAAUACCGGAUGCGACUACUGCCCGCAUGGGCUGGUGGUGGAAAGGGUUAUGUACUGGUCUUAGAUGGGCUCACGGCCUAUCAGCUGGUUGGUGGGGUAAUGGCCUACCAAGGCGACGACGGGUAGCCGGCCUGAGAGGGUGACCGGCCACACUGGGACUGAGACACGGCCCAGACUCCUACGGGAGGCAGCAGUGGGGAAUAUUGCACAAUGGGCGCAAGCCUGAUGCAGCGACGCCGCGUGAGGGAUGACGGCCUUCGGGUUGUAAACCUCUUUCAGCAGGGAAGAAGCGGAAGUGACGGUACCUGCAGAAGAAGCGCCGGCUAACUACGUGCCAGCAGCCGCGGUAAUACGUAGGGCGCAAGCGUUGUCCGGAAUUAUUGGGCGUAAAGAGCUCGUAGGCGGCUUGUCGCGUCUGCUGUGAAAGCCCGGGGCUUAACUCCGGGUGUGCAGUGGGUACGGGCAGGCUAGAGUGCAGUAGGGGUAACUGGAAUUCCUGGUGUAGCGGUGAAAUGCGCAGAUAUCAGGAGGAACACCGAUGGCGAAGGCAGGUUACUGGGCUGUUACUGACGCUGAGGAGCGAAAGCAUGGGGAGCGAACAGGAUUAGAUACCCUGGUAGUCCAUGCCGUAAACGUUGGGCACUAGGUGUGGGGGACAUUCCACGUUUUCCGCGCCGUAGCUAACGCAUUAAGUGCCCCGCCUGGGGAGUACGGCCGCAAGGCUAAAACUCAAAGGAAUUGACGGGGGCCCGCACAAGCGGCGGAGCAUGCGGAUUAAUUCGAUGCAACGCGAAGAACCUUACCAAGGCUUGACAUACACCGGAUCGUUCCAGAGAUGGUUCUUCCCUUUUGGGCUGGUGUACAGGUGGUGCAUGGUUGUCGUCAGCUCGUGUCGUGAGAUGUUGGGUUAAGUCCCGCAACGAGCGCAACCNUCGUUCUAUGUUGCCAGCACGUGAUGGUGGGGACUCAUAGGAGACUGCCGGGGUCAACUCGGAAGGAAGGUGGGGAUGACGUCAAAUCAUCAUGCCCCUUAUGGCUUGGGCUUCC